UAGGGAAUCUUCCACAAUGGGCGCAAGCCUGAUGGAGCAACACCGCGUGAGUGAAGAAGGGUUUCGGCUCGUAAAGCUCUGUUGUAAGAGAAGAAUGACAUUGAGAGUAACUGUUCAAUGUGUGACGGUAUCUUACCAGAAAGGAACGGCUAAAUACGUGCUAG
rnacentral:rRNA from 1 species